GAUGAACGCUGGCGGCGUGCCUAAUACAUGCAAGUCGAGCGAACAGACGAGGAGCUUGCUCCUCUGACGUUAGCGGCGGACGGGCGAGUAACACGUGGAUAACCUACCUAUAAGACUGGGAUAACUUCGGGAAACCGGAGCUAAUACCGGAUAAUAUAUUGAGCCGCAUGGUUCAAUAGUGAAAGACGGUUUUGCUGUCACUUAUAGAUGGAUCCGCGCCGCAUUAGCUAGUUGGUAAGGUAACGGCUUACCAAGGCGACGAUGCGUAGCCGACCUGAGAGGGUGAUCGGCCACACUGGAACUGAGACACGGUCCAGACUCCUACGGGAGGCAGCAGUAGGGAAUCUUCCGCAAUGGGCGAAAGCCUGACGGAGCAACGCCGCGUGAGUGAUGAAGGUCUUCGGAUCGUAUAACUCUGUUAUUAGGGAAGAACAAAUGUGUAAGUAACUAUGCACGUCUUGACGGUACCUAAUCAGAAAGCCACGGCUAACUACGUG
rnacentral:rRNA from 1 species